rnacentral:rRNA from 1 species
UACAGAGGGUGCAAGCGUUGUCCGGAUUUAUUGGGCGUAAAGAGCGUGUAGGCGGCCAGGUAGGUCCGUUGUGAAAACUCGAGGCUCAACCUCGAGACGUCGGCGGAAACCCUCUGGCUAGAGUCCGGAAGAGGAGAGUGGAAUUCCUGGUGUAGCGGUGAAAUGCGCAGAUAUCAGGAAGAACACCCGUGGCGAAGGCGGCUCUCUGGGACGGUACUGACGCUGAGACGCGAAAGCGUGGGGAGCAAACAGG